rnacentral:rRNA from 1 species
AGCGAACGCUGGCGGCAGGCCUAACACAUGCAAGUCGAACGAACCUUUCGGGGUUAGUGGCGGACGGGGGAGUAACACGUGGGAACGUGCCUUUAGGUUCGGAAUAACUCAGGGUAACUUGUGCUAAUACCGAAUGUGCCCUUCGGGGGAAAGAUUUAUCGCUUAUAGACCGGCCCGUGUCUGGUUAGCUAGUUGGUUGUGGAAAUGCGCCACCAAGGCGUGGAGGUGUGGCUGGUCUGAGAGGAUGAUCAGCCACAUUGGGAAUGAGACACGGCCCAAUCUCCUACGGGAGGCAGCAGUGUGGUGUCUUGCGCACGGGACGAAAGCCUGACACAGCCAUGCCGCGUAAAUGGUGAAGGUCUUAGGAUUGUAAAUUUCUUUCACCCGGGACGAUAAUGACGGUACCCGGAGAAGAAGCCCCGGCUAACUACGUG